UACCAGGAUGGAUGAUUUCUUUUCGUGUCCACCGUGGUUGUCCGAAGCAUAGUGGGACCCACCAUUCAUCACUCGUAUCGUGCCUCAAAGCAUUGACGUGAGGAUUUCCAAUCUCACGUGCCUGACACGUGUUGAGGUCUGGGUAUAUGGAUCGCUGGGUCGGAAGUCCCAAACCCGACGAAGAUUCUUGGAGGAGCCAAACGGCGGAAGAAGAAGGACCUGCUCCUCCCUCAGUCGGAUGAAUCUUCGAUCAUGUUGUGAUCCGUCAUGUUUCUUAGAAGAUGAUGGAAUGGGAGUUCUAAAGCCGAUCGAAAUCAUUGGAAGAACCAAAAGAAGGGCGAAGUAGGAUCUCUUCCACUUUCCUCUUCAACCAGAUUAUUAAUUUUGCAUGAGUUUCUGUCACUGGAGGGAACAUUGGAGGCCGCUGCAUUUUGACUCACUGGAGGCCGCAUUUCAAAUGAGUAAAGAAUUUCUCGUUAAGCCGAAGGAAAAUGAAGCGAGAAUGCAUUCGGAGAUUUUACAUGUAUUCUGCAAGACCUUGCUGAGAUACCCGUUAGCCGGAGAUGAAAUUUUCUUAGUGUUAAACAAUUGUCUACAGUGGUUGUAGCCAGAGAAUGAAUGCGAUUUCUAAUUUACACAAUCA